AGGACGAACGCUGGCGGCGUGCUUAACACAUGCAAGUCGAGCGGAAAGGCCCUUCGGGGUACUCGAGCGGCGAACGGGUGAGUAACACGUGAGUAAUCUGCCCCUAGCUCUGGGAUAGCUCCGGGAAACCGGGAUUAAUACCGGGAUACGACUGCUACGGACAUCUGUGGUGGUGGAAAGAACUUCGGGCUAGGGAUGAGCUCGCGGCCUAUCAGCUUGUUGGUGGGGUAACGCCUACCAAGGCGACGACGGGUA
rnacentral:rRNA from 1 species